rnacentral:rRNA from 1 species
UACAGAGGUCCCGAGCGUUGUUCGGAUUCACUGGGCGUAAAGGGUGCGUAGGUGGCCAGGUAAGUUCGGUGUGAAAGCUCGGAGCUUAACUUCGAAAUGUCAUUGAAUACUAUCUGGCUAGAGGGUCGGAGGGGAGACUGGAAUUCUCGGUGUAGCAGUGAAAUGCGUAGAUAUCGAGAGGAACACCAGUGGCGAAGGCGAGUCUCUGGACGACACCUGACACUGAGGCACGAAAGCUAGGGGAGCAAACAGG